UGUUUCAAGUGUGAACAGAUAAGACCUUAACACGUAUGCUUAUAUUAAACUCAGCCAUUUUGGGGAAAAUGCUAGGUGUCCCCUGUGGUGGCCACCCUAAUGUUCUCUAACAUACAGUUCUCCUCCUGAGUACUCCUCAGCCCCUUUGCAAUGAGGUGGGGCUGUUUGGAUAGUUCUGGCCAGGGUCUUUGAGUAAACGCCAAGCCUGCUGGGGACUGUCCACUGUCUCUCCCACUUCCAUAUAGACCAGGAAGGCUGUGUGUUCCAGGUGGCAGGUACAGGAUGAAGAACCUCUGUCAGCCUGGACUGCUGAGUCACUCUAUGGAGUACAGUCUUAUUAUGUGGUGAUAAUUAGCAUGAAAUAAACAUGUGUUUUCCUAUACCACUGUAUUUGGGGGUCAAUUUCUAACCAAUCACAGCAUAAACAAGCCUACCCUGGUUAGCAGGCAUAUAACUUUAGUUGGCUAAAAUUUCAAAAUUUCUCAUUGAUGCUAUCUUGCAGAUACCAGUCCCUGGGCACUGAUCCCAUAUCUAGACAGGAAUAGAGCCCUCUGUGAGGAGACGUGGCUCUUUUCCUCAAAGAAAAGGGCAUGGCCAAAUGCGUGGGGCCUGACAGGUGCUACAUACCAUGUUAAUGAUGCAACCCUAGCCUACUUCCCUAACCAAGGAGGUGAAAGUCCAGUGCCCAGCUCAGAGGCAAGACUUAAAGCUGUGGUCAGUGGAGGAAGGUAAGAGCCUUCAGAGCGAAGGUGUACACCUCCUCCAGUAUGGAAACACUGCUAAGAUGACAAAACUUAAACCCAGUUAAGGGGUAUUGUAUUGAUAUUACAAAGGCCACAAACUGUGGAAGCAGCUACCAUCUGACUCCACAGUCCCUUGAUUGAUAUCUGUGACUGGACACUUGUGGAGGAUCAGACAUUAGGAUCAAUUAAGAUGCAGUUGUUCUGGGCCAAAUGGCCAAGGAUAACCAGAGAAAAUAAUACCUUA
rnacentral:lncRNA from 10 species